rnacentral:rRNA from 1 species
UACGAAGGGGGCUAGCGUUGCUCGGAAUCACUGGGCGUAAAGGGUGCGUAGGCGGGUCUUUAAGUCAGGGGUGAAAUCCUGGAGCUCAACUCCAGAACUGCCUUUGAUACUGAAGAUCUUGAGUCCGGGAGAGGUGAGUGGAACUGCGAGUGUAGAGGUGAAAUUCGUAGAUAUUCGCAAGAACACCAGUGGCGAAGGCGGCUCACUGGACCACAACUGACGCUGAGGCGCGAAAGCUAGGGAGCAAACAGGG